CCAAAGGCUCUUUUAAGAGCCACCACACGGCCACCGGGGAGAGCUG
rfam:Opisthocomus hoazin contig79991, whole genome shotgun sequence.